UUUCCGUAGGUGAACCUGCGGAGGGAUCAUUACUGAGUGAGGGCCUUCGGGCUCGACCUCCAACCUUUUGUGAACCACCUCGUUGCUUCGGGGGCGACCCUGCCGUUCGCGGCGUGGGGCCCCCGGAGCCCUUCAAACCCUGCGAAACUGAGUCGUCGGAGUUUAAACAAAUUAAACAAAACUUUCAACAACGGAUCUCUUGGUUCGGGCAUCGAUGAAGAACGCAGC
rnacentral:misc_RNA from 1 species